GACGAACGCUGGCGGCGUGCCUAAUACAUGCAAGUAGAACGCACAGUUUAUACCGUAGCUUGCUACACCAUAGACUGUGAGUUGCGAACGGGUGAGUAACGCGUAGGUAACCUGCCUGGUAGCGGGGGAUAACUAUUGGAAACGAUAGCUAAUACCGCAUAAUAUUAAUUAUUGCAUGAUAAUUGAUUGAAAGAUGCAACUGCAUCACUACCAGAUGGACCUGCGUUGUAUUAGCUAGUAGGUGAGGUAACGGCUCACCUAGGCGACGAUACAUAGCCGACCUGAGAGGGUGAUCGGCCACACUGGGACUGAGACACGGCCCAGACUCCUACGGGAGGCAGCAGUAGGGAAUCUUCGGCAAUGGACGAAAGUCUGACCGAGCAACGCCGCGUGAGUGAAGAAGGUUUUCGGUUCGUAAAGCUCUGUUGUAAGAGAAGAACGGGUGUGAGAGUGGAAAGUUCACACUGUGACGGUAUCUUACCAGAAAGGGACGGCUAACUACGUG
rnacentral:rRNA from 1 species